rnacentral:rRNA from 1 species
CAUGNGUAGCGGUGAAAUGCGUAGAUAUAUGGAGGAACACCAGUGGCGAAAGCGGCUCUCUGGUCUGUCACUGACGCUGAGGCUCGAAAGCGUGGGUAGCGAACAGGAUUAGAUACCCUGGUAGUCCUCGCCGUAAACGAUGAGUGCUAGGUGUUAGGCCCUUUCCGGGGCUUAGUGCCGGAGCUAACGCAAUAAGCACUCCGCCUGGGGAGUACGACCGCAAGGNUGAAACUCAAAGGAAUUGACGGGGGCCCGCACAAGCGGUGGAGAAUGUGGUUUAAUUCGAAGCAACGCGAAGAACCUUACCAGGUCUUGACAUCCCGAUGCUAUUCUUAGAGAUAGGAAGUUACUUCGGUACAUCGGAGACAGGUGGUGCAUGGUUGUCGUCAGCUCGUGUCGUGAGAUGUUGGGUUAAGNNNNNNAANNGAGCGCAACCCUUAUUGUUAGUUGCCAUCAUUAAGUUGGGCACUCUAGCGAGACUGCCGGUAAUAAACCGGAGGAAGGUGGGGAUGACGUCAAAUCAUCAUGCCCCUUAUGACCUGGGCUACACACGUGCUACAAUGGUCGGUACAACGAGUUGCGAGCCGGUGACGGCAAGCUAAUCUCUGAAAGCCGAUCUCAGUUCGGAUUGGAGGCUGCAACUCGCCUCCAUGAAGUCGGAAUCGCUAGUAAUCGCGGAUCAGCACGCCGCGGUGAAUACGUUCCCGGGCCUUG